AUACGAAUUAGGCAUUUUCGAUUGGGAAAUAUAAAAUUAAGCCGUUUGAACACAUAAUAUGUGUUCAAUUUGUUUUCAUAUACAUGGUAAAACAGGGUGUUUUGUGAGGUUAGCACAUUGAGUGUACGUGACAUUGAGUGUAGGCAACCAGGAAGAACGGACAACGGGAUUCUAACAAAGGAUUCUCGGCACGCGCCACGGAACGGCGAUAAGAACGCGUCAAUAGCGGCAGUGGUAAGUACGUCAAGUACGAGUGCCUGCUCCAUAUAGAACAUCGCCCCAGGACAGGGGCGUCGUUUCAAUUUUUGUAUUGUCAGUGCCAACAUUUUUGCAGACUAUUUUAAAUCAUUAACAGGCUACAAUUAUGGGCACUUUUUCAGAGGGUAGGGGCAGACACUUGUCCACUUGGAAAUAUACCUCUUUUGUCUUCUUUUUUUUUUUUUGCUUCUUCUGCCAAUUAUAUUGGAUUGGACAUUAUUUUCCUACACCUCCACAAUGAUCUAUCCCUAACCUCUCAUUUAUUCAAACCAGCUAUUUUCAUGUCAUCUUCUAUUCUAUCCAACCACUUUUUCUUCGGUAUUUAUUUCUAUGAUCACCAUCACUGCCACUAAAUCACAUCUCCCCAUAACUAAUAAGUAUAUUCUCUCAGUCGAAUUUCAAAAUGGUACAAUAAUAUUAAUUCCACUAUAUUCAUAUUUCUAUAUUUUUCCACUUACUCUUUUAAUGAAUAAAUUUAUUUAUUUAAUUUAUUAACAAAUCAUUAUACAAAUUUAAAAGUACAUUUUCAAUUGUCAUAAAACAAUAUUAUACAUUCAAUACUUGAAUUAAACGAUACUUGGAUACGUGGAUAUCUUCGAUUUUUUUUAAUUUAAAAAAUGUAUACACUCCGCCAUAAGGGUUAAUUUUAUUGGCCUAGUUUUUGUCAACACUAAUUAGUCACUUAGGCCCACAUCUCCCAUAACUGGCCUACGAUUAUUGAUUUGACUUUAUUGACCUUUAUUACUAUACAUAAUUUAUUAUAAUUGUGUACUUGUUAAACACCACAAAGAGUAAUAGUUAUGAAUAUUAUAAAAGUUAGUAAAAAUAAUUAUUAUGCAAUAUUUAAGAACUGUACGUUAAAAUUGACUUUUAACUUUGAAAUUUACUUAAUUAUAGUAACGCAUUAGAAAUAUGCUAACAAUUUCUAGAUUAUAAGCAUAGCAAAUUAUGCACUUGUUACAUUAACUUGAUUAUGAUAGGUUUAUUGUAACAGUUCAAAAAAUGAAUCGAAAUUAAAAAUUAUAAGAUCAAUUAAAACAAAUAUUUUAUUGACAUAUAAAAAUGUAGGUAGAUAAAUAAUAUAAAAUAGGUACCUAUAUUAAAUAGUAAUUUCUAAGUUGAAUAAAUUAAAACAAAAGAACACUGGAAAACAGUUAUACUUACAAAAUUAUUUGGUUUCUGAUUUUCAGCUACUGCUGUAGAGAACAUACCAAAUAAAUUAUGGCAUUUGGAACCCGCUGUCAAUAAAUAUUUUUUUAUUUUUUUCUCUUAAUCAAACCACACCUUUAUAUUUUUUUCGUUUUUGUUUUUUAUAAUACAAAAUACACACGUAGAAUACAGGUAAUAAAACAUCUAAUUAAAAAAAAAUUCGUCAUUUAUGUCAAAAUUGCUGACUUAAUAAUAAUUAAUCGAUCGAAUAAAUGUCAUGUAUAAAAAAAAAGACGAACAUAAUUCGCACGUGGGUGCAGCCACUAUUGUAAGUGGAAAGUUGGGAAGGUAAGGUACAGACGGAAAUUCAAUGUAUAUCUGUAAGCAACGAUAAACCGUUCCUAACGAAAAAACGAUUCUGAACGGAGUUCAGUUGAUAGUGCUGCUUUGUCAACAAUAUAUAAUAUGUCAUAAUUAUGGUAAACUGAUUACAACAAAUGUACGUUUUUAUAAUAACUAUGAUUGUUUAAAAAAAAGAUUAAAAUAAUAAAAACUCAAUAAUAACAAAAAAUAAAUAAAAACGGAUACCAAUGACAAUCUUAUUUUUAAUAUUUCAAUCUUUUUUAGCCUAAAGAACCAGGUUUUUUUCAUUAUCUCGAAUAUUCAUUAGAAUUUCAAACAAUUACCUCUUUGUUUAAAGAGUUUAGGGUUUUUUUCAUGUUUAUCAACCCAGAUAACAUUUCUUUUCAGAAAAGGUGUUAUACUUGAUAAUCGGAUUAAUUUUUCUGGUAGAAAAAAAAUUUACAUAAUAAAAAAAAAUAAUAAUAUCUUUGUAAAACCAACACAUCCUUUACUAAACUCAGAAUCUAAAAAUAUAAAAAUUAUAUAUUGAUAAAAACUAAAACCACUAAAAUAUUAGUUGUAUAAUAUUCGUUUAAUAAAAAUAAACGAUUUCACGUCCUUCUUGAUAUAGGUACUGAAGUAGUGUGGUAGGAAGUAAAUGAUAAGUUUUAAAAUGUUAACAAGGGAUGUUAUUUUUGGACUUAUUUUUUUCCCUUUUGCUGGGAAUUAUUAAUUUCGUUGUUUUAUCAUUAUCACAAUAUAACGAGUAGACAAUAAAGUUCCAACGACCUACGGGUGAUGUUUUUUUAGCUUAGAGAGAUCCUCUCGGGGAAAACAAUAACAUACGUAAAAACGGUGCGUUUUUCCCUAGACUACAGGCCAAGUAUCUAUGCGAUCAUUCCACAGAUAAAUAUACUAUACAGUGCAGUAUAGUAUAUUUAUCUGUGGUUCAUUAUUCUUAUAGCGCCUAUAAAUAAUAAUACAAUUAUGUAUUUAUUAUAAAUUUUUUUUAUGGUUGUCGGUCAGUAUUAUAAUAUUGUCAGACUAUGACGAACAUUUUUUUGAAAUUAAACACAUUAGCACAAUACAUUUUUAAUUUUUCUAAAUACUAACUCAAUAUAUGGCAUACAAAUCUUAGAUGUAAAAGCGCUUGUAUUUUAUUUUUGGCUGACCAAAGAUUUUUUAAAAACCAGUUGGUGUGAAUGUACAUCCUGCACUUUCCUAAAUGAUCGCCACUGCCUAAGGAAGAACGCACGGUAAUCUACAGCCAUAGAAUAUCGUGGGCCACACUAAUCCAUUGAUUUCACUGACCUUAACUGGUCAUCUCCGAGACGUAAAUUAGUAUUGCAAAUAUUAUAAUAAAAUAUAUCAUAACGAUCACUGUGAAAUCGUGUAAGUCUUAACUUUACCGAAGUCACCUCUAUUUGUAGCACGAGUAUAUCAUACACUAGAUAGAGGUGACCUCAAUAGACAGGACGUAAUAAUAGUUACAGGAAAUUGUCAUACACUGCAAAUACCCUGCAAUAUAUGCGGCAACUCGUAUUGUCCGGAAGAACACGUGCGUGUAUAGUAUUGUAUAUUUUUGAUAAAAAAAAAAAAAAAUCGGAUAUCGCUUUCAAUAGUCUGUUUUAUCGAUAUUUAUGGUAUUUGGUCAUGGUGACCGUAACUCGGUCUACUGAUAUUACUUAUUGAAUUUAAUUUCAAAUUCUCGAAAAUUUUAAUGCCCGAUUAAUCGCUGACGCCCGAUCAUGGGCAAACAAUUAUUAUGCAUCAGUCCUCGAGCAUAAACCGGAUAUUGAUAUGAACUUUAUUCAGAUUAUCCAGAUAACUCAAAUGUAUUUAAUCAUCUGCAGAAGUCCAGAUAGGGGAGGGGCUUAACGCGUCUCCAAAAAAUGACAUUUGUAUCAAUAAUAUACAAUGAAUAAAUCAUUUUAAGAUACCUACAUUGAUUAAAAUUAAUAAAGUAAUUAUUGAAAUAUUAUGGAAUUAUCCGGAUGUCUAUCCGGUUUAUCCGUUUUGUUCAAAUCCGGAUAAUUGACAUCACUACUCUCUAUAAAGGAACCCAUUUGUGUAAUGAACUAUUCUCUAUUAUAAAUGAAAUUUUUCCGUCUUAGCCGAGUAAUCAAUAUUUUACUAUGAAAAAAAGUAGCCCUUAAGAAUAAUCGUGAAACCCGCGCUGUUUACACAUGCAAAAUACCUUACGUCACUCACCAAAUUAAAACUACCAGUACCGCUACAAAUAAUACGGCGAGAUAGUACCACUGAUAAAAAUCACUCUGUAUUAAUCAUAUUGUUUGUUAUAUAUAAACAACUUAAAAGUGAAAUUAAAUAUUAAUGAGUACUUGUACCUAUUAUAAUAUAAUUGCGUUGAUUCGAGUGUUUCGACUGGUGAAUUACUAUUUCAUAAUACUGAUUAUCGUUUACUAUUGUGUAGACACACAAUUGUAUUAAAUAUUUUAACGACGGAACUGAAAUUUUAACAAUAAAACACUUUACACGGUAAUCGGUUUAGGGUUCGGAAAUUAUAUUACAUUUAAAAUCAAAAAUCAAAACGUCAAAAAAAAAAUCCUGAAAAAAGCAUAUUAAAAGUAGAAGGGUUUAAAAGUACCCACCCCCCUCUCUAAUGACUAAACUUAUUAAAUGCAAUAAUACUGCACAAAUAAUUAUUACAAAUAAUUAUUUUUAUUUUUUAUAAUCCGUGCCUGUACAAUUUAAUUUAAGCAAACACUUCUUUGUAUAAUAUUACGAGGGGGGAAGGAGACUUUUAAAUCCACCUACGAUAAUUAAAUUUAUUAAUUAUUUUUCAAGUGCUUCUCUGAUUUUUUAAGCUUUUUAUACAUUGUCAUAUCAAAUGAUCCAGCGAUUGUACACGAACAUUUUCAGUAAAAUUUAUUUUGGUGUUUAUAUAUCAAAUAUAGAAUAAUUUUAUUUACAAUAUUUUCAACGUUUUACUCUUAUCCCCUUUGAUAAACAUACAUUAUCUACAACGUUUGUUUUUCGAAUAGUAACCUAUCCUUCUAUUUUCAAACCAGGAGGACCGUAGAUUCUCUUUUUAAAAAUAUUCGUUUAUAAAUAUAUUAUAUUUUUUUUGUUUUAGUUAAUUAUGAAAAUAAAUUGAUAAUGUCUUUUAUAUUAUUGUGGCAGGUGUGUGGAAUGGAAACUUCUGUACCCUUCAUCUGAAAAGUGAGAGGUUUGAGUAAUAAUUAUAAUCAGUAAUACAAUAUGAUGUAAAAUCCGUCAAAAGGUACGCUGAACGGGGAUGUGGCUAUCCUCACAAGUCUGCACCUACGCUCGAGUGUAAAUAAAUCGUGAUAAUUUUUGCACCCUCGUGAAUAUUCGAUACCGAGUGCAGCUUACGCCUAUACAUUAUACUCUUUUAGUUAAUUGUAUUAUUAUACUAGUUUCGACAUGAAAUUUUGGAUUUUUUUUUUUUGUAAACAAUAUCUAUACGUAUUGAGACGAGAGAG
rnacentral:lncRNA from 1 species